GUUUGCUUGUUGUUCAGUCUCGCUACAACCUUUAGCAAGUUUUUAUAGUCAAUGGUAAGUUUUAUGUGUGAGUAUGCAUGGCAUGUUUCAUUUUGUUUUAAUGUUUUAAUUUAAGAGGGUUUGGUUUUUUGUCAGACAGUAGUGGCAUGAGUGCUUUCCAUUAUGGAUUUUUAAGGAACAACCCAAUUCCCUUUGAAGAUUCCAUUAAAAAUCCUUUUUUUUCAUGCUGCUAAAAUAACAUCCUGCCUUUGUUAUUGGAAUCAACUAGCACCUGGACAAUUGUGUGGUUGGAGGGCUGGCUGUGGGUUUUUGGUUUAUUGUGUGUGUGUGUUUGUGCAUGUGUGUGUGUGAGUGACUCUGUGUGUGUGUGUGUGUGUGUAUGUGUGUGUGUGUGUGUGUGUGAUGAGUUGGUGACCUCUAUGCACUUAAUACCGUAUAGUGGAUUUCUGUCAUUCAGUUAAAAUUUUGUUCUCAAAUUAAACCCACAAAAUUACGAAAACGCACGUUCAUGUGUAUACACAGAGUGGAUGUGUUGACCCAACAAAAAACCUGCUAUAGCAUUCAUUGGACAAAACCAGCGUUUUAGGUAUGCAUUCUAGUCUACAUGCACUAUCGCCUAAGUAGCUAUGAUUUGGUUUUGCCCCUUAAAACUGGUCAUUUUUGGAUAAAGUUUCUAUAGUAAAUUUGGCCUGCACAGUUAAUUCACAUAUACCUAUGCCACUUGAAUACUACUUCCUUGUCUGAAUACAUGCCAACAAUGAUGGGUAAUUGGGUAUGGCUCCAGCUAGGACUGAGAAGUGGGGUAGAGACCAAAGUGUGGAUAUUUUUUGGUGCAUGCAAAUUAAGUGCAUACAAAAGAUGUGCUAAUCAAGCUAAGCAUACUUUUAAACUUCUUUUAGUUUGGCUAAACAAACAUUUCACUGAUACUUUUAGAGGUUCUCUAACUUUUAAGUCUUUAGGUCAUGUCCUGACUCCUGUUACUGAAAUUCAAGAUUUUUAAAUUUGCCUUUUUUCUUUACUUUGACCACACCCACUUGACGUUAUAUGCGUGGGUAAUUGGGUAUAGCCAAAACCGUGAACAUACAACUUUAAUUAUGCAAAGUAUGAAGAAAGAAAUCACAGCUAGUACAAGUGCAUGGUUCAUGAUGCUUGUAGUAUGUUCAUUAGCAGCAAGAUCACUCAUUUUUGAUCAAGAGGAAGGCAAGGGAGCAUGAGGUUUCACACUGAACUAAUGCGUCUUCUGAACGAUCAAAGUUGGUCACUAAAGGAGGUAACAUUGCUUUGUUACAGUUAUAAAUCCAUCCUUUAACUCACAUAGUACCAUUCACUAAUGAUAUUGCAAGGCCAUUACUACGGCACCUUAUCAUGGCAUUAAAAAUUACUAUUUUAGUAUAUAUAUAUAUACCAACCCACCAACCAUAUGUAUAAUUUACUGGAAUAGCAACUGGCCUAACUGGUUUUUGAUUCUCCUAAUUAAUGCCUAUGAUAUAGAAGGUGGGGCUUGGUUUCUUGACUAUUAUUAUAAAAAUGGAGUAAAUUCUAGUUUUCUAUUAGUUAGAGGAUCGAACUAGUUUGAGGAGUAAAACCGUACCAAAGAAUAUUCUUUAUUGCAUACCUUUCACCAAUUUCUGUAUGUCUGCUUGCUUUUACCAAUUAAGAAUCACUUUUUUUAUUGUAACUUUUAGGAUAAUCUUGCUUCAUGGAUCAAGAACUAUCAGAAUUUAUGAACAAUAAUGACUUCUUCCUUUUAAGUUCAGCUUUUUCCAUUGCAGCACCUGUGGAUGAGCCCAAGAAGACCAAAUUUGAAUACAACCAUACUAAUAAUGAGUCAAAUGUAUUUAAUGAGGAGCCAUCACUCAAGUAUCUGAAAAAGAAGCUAAAUGCUACCGAAGAGAAGGUGAAUCAUUUGGUUUUACAGAAUUAUAAUGAAAUGAUGGAGAAUGUAUAUCAACAAGUGACAGUCCCAACGUUUUUUACAAAAUGGACGUCUCACUCAAUACCAUACACAUCAAGUAUUGAUGACACUUUUCAUGCACAGAAUACACAAGAAUGGGCACAAUACUUGGUAACAGCUAGCCACCGUACUACUGGAAGUGUCUCAGUAUACAGGAUAGCUAAAGAAAGACUAAGACAUUCUGAAACAAUAAUGAUUCCUGGAGACAAAACAUUAACAUCAACAGCACACUUUACAUUGCUGUAGCCUGCAAAAAUUAUUACGACGAUACAAAAACAAACUCGCAACUUUACCACUUGGACAGAUGAUGAGACUCUGAAACAUCUAUUACAUUUGGACUGACAACUUGUGAAAUAUUUCUCACUUUACAAUGCUCACAGACAGUCAAAGCUCAACUGUGGCUAAGCUAUUCCCUGUCGUUAUGAUAUCUGAGCAGCUCUCAUUCAUUUAUAGGUGGAAUGGAUCUUGCUUCGAGUUUGAGCUUUUCCAGACAAUAUGCAACAAAAAAUCUCCACUCUCCUAGUAACUGCUAAUUUUAACCAGAUCAUCAGUUGUUUAUAAAAUGAAUAAAUUUACACGACGUUUUAAACAAUUCAAACAUCAAAGGUCAAGCAGUUGAGAGUUUUACAAUAAACAAUGAACACUUUGUUGCUAUAGUUAAAGAAUAGGAAUCAUUAGGACAUCCUAAACAAAUCAUUUACAAAGUCAGUUGAUCACUACCUAAAACUUUAUUCAAAAGAUCACAAUGUUUCAUAUAUCCUCUUUUAAAGUGUAUUGUGAUGUCCUCUUUGGGUCCUGAGUGAUGGGAAUAGGGAAUGCAUUUCUGUUGAUCUGUACAAAUGGAUUGAUGCCUAGAAAACUGUCAAAUAUUAUACAUAAACUAGACUUUGCUUAUAAUUAUUGAUUGUUAAUUAUUGCCCUUUCUUUUGGUUUUGUUAUUUUGCUGUGUAGAUCAAUUAUUGAUAGUUAUUUAGAACUAUUGUUCUUUAUUUUUUGCUCUGUUUUGUUGAUUUAGUACUUAUUUUAAAAUUUAAAACAAAGUUUAAAGUCCAUGCACACGGUAGCUAUGUGGUUUUAAUAGAGCCUAGUGCAGCACUAGGCUCUAGAAGUGCAUAGCAAAAAGUGAAGGCAAAAAGUCUGUUAGUGUAUUACCCAGAGCCAUCUUAUGUUAACGGAAACAGAACUGCAGAAGUGGAUUAUAGGUGAGAAAAUACAUAAUUUAAGAGAGUGAGAGAGAGACCCUCUUUCUUUCACCUGUUUCACCUUUUGCAACUUCUAAGGUAUCCUAUACCUACACAUUAGGAAAUUAUGUUAAUGUGUAGUGUAGCAUGCAAAUUUAAAAGACUAGUAGAAGUGCCUUUCAAUUUGUUAUUAACUUAAUGAAUUAUUACUUUUUUCUUAGUCGAAAUCACAUAUUGUUAUCUUUCUUCUUUUCUCUCUUCUUUAAUCAAUUUUUUCUUUUUGUGUGCGAUCUCACUUUUGCAUUUUCUAGUCUUAAAUAAUAAUAGUAAUAAAAUGAGAGGUGAGCAUGCAAUUCCAGGUUGCAUUCAGUGAUGAUAUUACAUUGAUUGACAAAAAGCAUAACGUUAGAGUUAACCCCAAAAUGACAUUUCCUCCUCAGGAUGCACAUUCCCCACUGGGUACUAUACUUGGACAUAUCAAUUCAUUUAUGUCAAUUUCUCUUUAUAUGGUGUAUGUAUAACAAUAGUGGGUUAUUUAGGGUUAUUUAGGGUAAUAUUUUGGUAAAAGGAAUCCAACUUUGUGAGUUUUAUUUUUGUUCUGUGGGGAAAGGAUGGGUGUGCCAAGUUUUGUGAGUUUCAUUUUUGCUCUUGCAUGAACAAAAAACAGAAGUUUGGCUAAGUGAAAGAGGCCAGCUAUAUGGUAGUUCAGCUAAUGUACCUAAUGCUCACCACUUACUUUGGGUAUAAAAAUUUGUUUUUGCAGGUGUUACCACAUAAAGGGAAGAACUGUGGUUUCCUCUUAAUCCAAACCUACUUCUCCAAAUUGACAAAACCUUAUUAAUCAGGCACUUAAUUACUCUAUUUAUCUUCCAUUGCUAAUAGUGUCCUUGUAAUGCUAUAAGCAUCAAGUGCAUAUUCUAUGCUAAUAGCUGCCAAACUUGCCAUAUUAGCUAAGAUAAAUUAAUAUUGGUACAAACCAUAUUCAUAAUUCAUAAAAGCAAGAACAUAUGUCUAUAUACUCUUCGUAAAAGUAUACAUACAACAUUACUAUAAGUGCAAAAUAUAAUAAAAAUUUAUAAUAAUAUUAUAAGUGCAGAAUAACAUGAAGCCUACUAAAGUUAAAACUUGUAUGGUAUUUUGACAGCUGUGUUUACAGCAUAAUCUUGAAUACCACAUUAUGUUCUUUGGUCAGUACCAUUAGUUGUGGUAUUGAGGCCAGGUGCUUCCAUUAGUAUUUAAUGAUGCUUUUGAUCAGAAAAAAUAUAAGUUUUAUCAUCAUGCAUUUGCAUUGAUCAGUUACACUUUGCACACAUACUGAUAAAACAUAAUGUCCAAUGCUUGGUGUGUAUUUUUCAGCCAAAGUGUAGUAGUAUUGCUGGAAUCAUUUUAUUUUUUUUGUGCAGAUUAAAAUCCUGAGCAUAUAAGGUGCAGUUCAUCAAUCAUCAAGAGAAGCUGAAAGCCCUAACUUCUUCCUUAAAAUUGGCUGAUGAACCGAAAAUGCCCUUGCAUUUAUUGUUUCAGCUAUUUUAGUUUGUUCUGUUGCAGCACACUGGAGGAGGCCAAAAUUCGAAUAUAACCGUACUAAAAAAUGAGGUAAUGAUCAUUAACAUCAUUAUUACCAUUUUAUUAGUCAAAUAUCAGCCAUGUAUCUGGAAAAGAGAAUAAAUGCCACUGAAGAAAAGGUUAGUCAUUUCAUAUAUUAUUAUAAAUUAUUCUAUCAUAGGUUACCAGACUGAAUGAAUGUGUACAACUCACACAUGUAGUGUUCCAUGUCUCUAGUUACUUCAUAGUUCAUCGAGUCACAGGCCAAAGGUUUUUUACAAAAUGGAAGCACUCUCAAUACCAUAAUAAUGCAAUGAUGAAGAAUGUGCAGACUUAAUCUCACCAAGUUUUUUCAAAACAGACAUCAUAAGCUAAACAUCAAAGUUUCUAUGCAUGAAAUUGACAAGGACAGACACAGCUAGUACACAAUUACUACUGGUAGCUGUAUACAAUACAACAAGAGAGGGGCCAAGACAUUCUCAGACAAUAAUGAUUCCUGGCCGAACCAGCAACAAUCACUACAAUUCAAUGAUAGCGACGACUUCAUCCUUAAACGUUCGAUAAUGACAAUAAAGGGGCUCUGAAACACGUAUAGACUUUUAGCAAGAAUGAGGCUUAUGAUGAUGCAUUUAGAAAGACAAAUAAAAUAUUUCUCACUCUUAUGACGAAUAAUGAACAUUCAUGGACUGGAUUACCCUCUAAAGGAACCCUGAACACUGUCUGUUCAAUUUCUGGAGACUAUGGAGUGAAAUCUCUUUAACAUCAAAGAUCAUCUUUUAAGCAUUGCCUGUAAUGUCAAUAUAAUAUCUUAAGUAUUUUAAACUCAUUCAUUAUCAUACCGUUUUUUAGGUAAUACCCUAACCACGUACAACAAAGGGUCUCCUUCCUGUGAAUAUUGAAAGCCAGUUCUUCUUAGUAGCUGCCAAUUCGAAAGGAUCAUUAGUCAUUUAUAAAAUAAGUAAAUUCACGAGACGAUUUGAAAUAUUUCAAAAUAUCCCAACAUCGAAAGUCAAAGCAUUUGACAGUCUUACCAUGAACAGAGGACACCUCAUUGCUGUAGUUAAGGCACGAGAAAUACUAGUGCAUAGACAAACCCAAAUACCGGUAUGUCCUUCUCAGUGUUUGUAUUUUAUUAUUUUCAGCUAUUGUAGUUUGUUCUGUUGAAGCACAAACUUGAAGAGAUUAAAAUUGAAUAUAACGAUACUAAUAAUUAGUCAAAUGAGGAGUCACCAUUGAAUCAUUUCGAAAAAAAUGCCAUCAAAGAGUUACCAGACUGAAUGGUUAAAUAAUAGUGAUGAAGAAUGGCUUAAUCUCACCAAGACCUUUUCAAAUCGGAUAUCUCUUUCCGAACCAUUCGUUUAACAUGAAACUUUCUAUGCAGACAGUGCCAGACACAGUACACAAUAACUACUGACAACUGUAUACUGCAAGAUUACAAUGUAAUGAGAGAGGGGCCGAGACAAUCUGAUUCCUGGCUGUGGGCAGUGAUGACAAAAAACAUAAACGACAAAGUUUAUACUGCUGUAACUGGCAAAAAUUAUUACAAUUCAAUGAUACUUGAACAUUCAAUGAUGACAGGGCUUUAAAACAUGUACAGACUUUUAGGAACAAUGAGGCUGAUGAGAAUUCAUUUGGAAUGAUGAAUGAAGAAAUUAAUACUUAUCACUCUUACGAUGAAUAAUGAACACUCGUGGACUGGAUUACAGUCUAUGAAGGGAACCUGAACAUCGUCUGUUCAAUUUCAUUCAAUUUCUGGAGACUAUGGAGUAAAAUCGAAUUUCUUUUACAUCAAGUAAGCAUUGCUCCAUUUGCCUGUCAAAAUCUCAAUCGUUUUUCAGAUAAUACCCUAAUCAGGUACAAUAAAGGGUCUCCACUUAUGCAUAUUGAAAGCCAAUUCUUCUUAGUAGCUGCCAAUUUGAAAGGAUCAUUAGGCGUUUAUAAAAUGAGUAAAUUCACGGAACAUUUUGAAAUAUUUCAAACUAUCCCAGCAUCAAAAGUCAAAGCAGUUGACUGUCUCACCAUAAACAGAGGACACUUCACCACUGUAGUUAAGGCACGAGAACCACUAGUAUGUAGACAAACCUAAAUAUGUCCUUCUUGGCAUUAUGUAUUUUAUUAUUUUCAGCUAUUGUAGUUUGUUCUGUUGCAGUACAAACUUGAGGAGAC
rnacentral:misc_RNA from 1 species